rnacentral:rRNA from 1 species
UACGUAGGGUGCUAGCGUUGUCCGGAAUCAUUGGGCGUAAAGAGCGUGUAGGCGGCCCGGUAAGUCCGCUGUGAAAGUCGGGGGCUCAACCCUCGAACGCCGGUGGAUACUGUCGGGCUAGAGUGCGGAAGAGGCGAGUGGAAUUCCUGGUGUAGCGGUGAAAUGCGCAGAUAUCAGGAGGAACACCGAUUGCGAAGGCGGCUCGCUGGGACGUAACUGACGCUGAGACGCGAAAGCGUGGGGAGCGAACAGG